GCGCUCUCCCUUCUGUCCUCUCCCCUCUGCCUUCUCCCUCUCCCCUCUCCCCUGUCGCCUCUGCCCUGCUCCCUUCUCUGUCCUGGGCUUCUGCCCCCCUCACCGCUCUCUGCAUCCACUCCAGCUUUUCCCCCCUUCACUUUCUCCAAACAGUGAUUUUUUGAAACUAAUAUCAACAAGAUCAGGACAACUGCAAUCACUUUACCCGACUUGUCAGUUUCCUAUUUAGAAAAUUCAGACUAUGGAGUGGAAUUGGCUCCUCAUGGGACCCAUGUGUGAUGCCCUGAAAUGCUGAUGUAUGUGUGUCUUCUCCAAAUUCUGCCGAGUUGAGCUGAGUGUCCGCUGGCUAUGCUUGCACGCGCUGUCUGCAGGGGCAUGCUUGGGAAGCCAGCUUAGUGUGCUGGACCUUCUCUUGCGUGGUUAGUUGUAAAACUUGAUGCUUCUGCAGGCAGAUGAUGGCAGAAAGCUCCCACCCCACCACGCUGAUGACGGCAGAAAGCUCCCGCCCCACCACGCUGAUGACGGCAGAAAGCUCCCGCCCCACCACGCUGAUGAUGGCACUCUCGUUGGGUGGUUGUGUGGUCUUCAUACAAUUUCAGGGUAAAUCGCCACUUGAUGUCAUUGCUAAAUGGGAUACCUGAGCUAUGAUGAUUUUGCCUGAUUGUUAAAGUUAGUAUUUUAAGACCAAAGAUGGACAAAAUACGUUAAAAUUGUCUGUAAAAAGGCACAUUUCUGAAUUUGCUUUUAAUACUUUAAAAGAUAUAAAGCUGUUGUAUUAUAACAGGAAGGAUUGCUACAAGAACAGAUCUGUCAGAAAACAAAACCGCAUCUUGAAUUGAAAUGGAAAAUGAAAUUUAGCUACACUUCGUA
ensembl:lncRNA LINC01865 long intergenic non-protein coding RNA 1865